rnacentral:rRNA from 1 species
UACGUAGGCAGCGAGCGUUGUUCGGAAUUACUGGGCGUAAAGGGCGCGUAGGCGGCACAGCAAGUCGGGAGUGAAAGCCCGGGGCUCAACCCCGGAAUGGCUUUCGAAACUGCUGAGCUAGAGUACAGAAGGGGCAACCGGAAUUCCCAGUGUAGCGGUGAAAUGCGUAGAUAUUGGGAAGAACACCUGAGGCGAAGGCGGGUUGCUGGGCUGAUACUGACGCUGAGGCGCGAAAGCCAGGGGAGCAAACGGG